rnacentral:lncRNA from 1 species
CUCAGGUGCGGGGAGGCGGUCGCAGACCCCAUCCUCGGCGCUUCUCGAACCUAGCCCCCUUCAGUUCUGCGCGACCUCCCAGCACCACCCCGAGGGCUGCCGGAGCAGAGCUUCCCCGACAUGCGCGGGCGGGACGGGGCCAGGGGUCCAGGCCUGGGGACCCGCAGUCUGCGUUGUGCGGUGGAGUUGGGGCCAGCCGGGCAGCUGAGGUCACCUGAAGGCCAGGAGGGGCUGGGCCUGCCCGUGGACGUGGGAGUGAGGCCGCAGCGCCCUGGUGGGGUGGGGAGGGGCGGCUGAACUGGUCCACAGCCCCGUCCGCCAGAGAACGGGCCCUGGAGAGGGGCAGGGGACGGGGUGGGGGCGUGGGGGGGAGGGGAAGCCAAGCUGGGAAGGCGCCCCCUCAGUGUCUGGGGCCCGCUGUCAGCUUUUCAACCUAAAGGAGAAAACAGGCAAAACGAAUAGAAAUAGUUUGUUGGGGCCAAGUUUGAGGACUGCAGCGUGGAAGGACAGACUCAGGUUGGUCUGAAUGCACGCGCUCUCAUUCGCAGCAGUUGCAAGUGCGUUUUUAAAGGAAAAAUGAAGACGCAGCUCCUAAAUUCACCAAGAAUUUGCAUUAAAAUGGCAUAAGCUAUUGAUUGGUGUACAUUAUUUGUCACAAAUUCCAGGAACAUGAAGAUGACGCUGAGGCGGCCAGGCGGACACUAUAGGAAAGAAAAGAAAGAACAAAAUGCCUUCCAGCAGUUGCCCCGGGCGUGAGUGGGGAGGCGGGACUGAGGCCCUGUACUCAGGUGUCUCUGGGCCAGAUAAUCUUUGAGAAUCCCACAUAGCUCCGGCUAUUUUUCUUUUCUCAUUUCUCGUGUUUGAUCAAAAAUUUUCUCUUCUCAAAGCAGUGAUGAUCGACAUUCUAGAUGUAAGUUUUUCUGCUGGGAAGGCUCAUUCCCGGGCCAUCUCACCCCGCAUGGGGGGAAAGAGGACAGGUGCGGUGGGCGCUUAAGAACUUCGUGAGGCCUCAAGGCCAAGGUUGAUUGGCACGGGGUCUGUCAGGCCGUCUGCUAUGAAGGAGCCACGCAUACCGGAUGGCUUCUGAGCAUCUAGCUAGCAUCCUCGGGGUUUUUUGGUUGACUUUGGACAUCUAGAAACACAAAGCCUAAUCAAUUUAAGAAUGAAAAAUAUGGGCCGGGCGUGGUGGCUCAUGCCUGUAAUCCCAGCACUUUGGGAGGCCGAGGCGUGUGGAUCACGUGAGGUCAGGAGUUUGAGACCAGUCUGGGCAACAUGGUGAAACUGCGCCUCUACUAAAAAUACAAAAAUUAGCCGGGUGUGGUGGCAGGCGCCUGUAAUCCCAGCUACUUGGGAGGCUGAAGCAGGAGAAUCACUUGAACUCGGGAGGCGGAGGUUGCAGUGAGCUGAGAUCGUGCCACUGUACUCCAGCCUGGCAACAGACUGAGAUUCUGCCUCAAAAACAAGAAAAGAAAAAGAAAAAAUGACACAAAUAAGGGCAACUAUUAACAAUUUGAAAUCUAGAACUGAAGAGUGCUUCUAUUUUUGAAGGUAACCAGAUACCUAUUUUGUCUCCUUCUGGUCCUGGCCUGAAGAACAAGAUGUUGAAGUUCUCCAGUGAUGGAAACGACCUCUCUGGCGAGGCUGCCUGGUGUGGUCCCAUCUAUUGUGGUUGGAGGAAGUCCUAUAUUUGAUGCUUUUCUCAUGAAAUCUCCAGGUUGGAGACCUUGAACUUUCAUGUCUUCAUCUCCUGAGAACUCGCCGUUAACAGAAUCCUUAAUUAAUUUAGAAUGUGCAGUGAGAAGCUCUAUAGGGUCUCGGCAAUAAUGAAGAAUAUCGCCUUUAAGGGGAGCUGGUUUGGAGGCUCCUUCAUCCAGGCACAGGGCCUUCCUGGUAUUAUUUCAAAGAGAGAAAGCUGAUGUUUUCCAAACAGGGCAGAACCCCAGUUCAGCACCACAGUGGAAACACCUUAGGCCAGGGAGUGUUAGAAGCUGGUUUCAGCAUUGCAGAUGGGUUUUCUAUUAUCCCACCUGUGCGUUCCACAGUCUGGAAGAUGGAGGAGGGCUGCAAGCACAAUGGGAAUGCCAAUCCCUCCAAUCCCAACCAGCUUUCACUAUGCAAGGUAAGAUGUCAAUCAAUCUUUUUUCUUUUUUCUUUUUUCUUUUUUUCAGAGAGAGACAAGGUUUCUCCAUGUUGUCCAGGCUGGUCUGGAACUCCUGGGCUCAAGCGACCCUCCCACCUCAGCCUCCAAAAGUGCUGGGAUUACAGGCAUGAGGCACCAUGCCUGGCCAAUAAAUCCUUUUUUUUUUUUUUUUUUGAGAUGGAUUUUCGCUCUUGUUGCCCAGGCUGGAGUGCAAUGGCACCACCUCUGCUCACCACAACCUCCACCUCCUGGGUUCAAGCAGUUCUUCUGCCUCAGCCUCCCGAGUAGCUGGGAUUACAGGCAUGUGCCACCAUGCCCGGCUAAUUUUGUAUUUUUAGUAGAGACAGGGUUUCUCCAUGUUGGUCAGGCUGAUCUCAAACUCCCAACCUCAGGCGAUCCGCCCGCCUCAGCCUCCCAAAGUGCUGGGAUUAUAGGCAUGAGCCACCGCGCCCAGCCCAAUAAAUCUUUUAUAACGUCUCACAGUUUACCCCAUUCUCUUUCUUUCCACAGCUUUCUAUAUCCACUCUUAUCUAUCAUUCGUUUUUAUCCCUUCAACUAAACCUUUAAAAACCUCUAGACAAAUUUACUCUUCCCAUAACAAAAACCACAUUUUCAUGCCUUCUUUAUAAUCUUUACCAAAGACAUAACCUAUUUUUCUUACAUGCUCUGUAUUCAGAAUUGUUUCUUUUACAUCUAGUAGUUUUAAUUAUAUAUAUAAACUACAGUGUUUUUUGAGACAGGGUCUCCCUGUUCUUGCUCAGGCUGGAGUGCAACGGUGUGAUCUUGGCUCACUGCAGCCUCUGCCUCCUGAGCUCAAACAAUCCUCCUGCCUCAGCCUCCCAAGUAGAUGGCACUACAGACCUGCACCACCACGCCUGGCUAAUUUUUGUAUUUUGUGUAGAGACAGGGUUUUGCCACGUUGCACAGGCUGGUCUCCAACUCCUGGAUUCAAGUGAUCUGUCUGCCUUGGUCUCCCAAAGUGCAUUAACUACAAUUGUAAGUCAGUAACUUCAAGUUUAGUGAAAAACCUAGGAAGGAAUUUUGAACUGUUUUAUAUCAGCAUUUUUAGAUGGAAACCAUUUCUUUUUUUUUUUUUUUUUUUUUUUUUAGAGUCUUGCUCUGUCGCCCAGGCUGGAGUGCAGUGGUGUGAUCUUGGCUCAGUGCAAGCUCCGCCUCCCAUGUUCAUGCCAUUCUCUUGCCUCAGCCUCCCGAGUAGCUGGGACUACAGGCUCCCACCACCACGCCCAGCUAAUUUUUUUGUAUUUUUAGUAGAGAUGGGGUUUCACUGUGUUAGGCAGGAUGGUCUCGAUCUCCUGACCUCGUGAUCUGCCCAACUCAGCCUCCCAAAGUGCUGGGAUUACAGGAGUGAGCCACCGCACCCGGCCCAUUUAAUAAUUUUUUAGGAAGAUGUUUCCUCAAUUUUUUGCUUAUUAACAGAUCUAAAUAUUUUUAACUUUUCUAUACCAUAUAAAAAUACAAUGCCAACGUAUAUCAAUUUAAAAUUGUGUUUAAUGAUUGUUUCAGUAUUUUAACUGACUUAAAAAUAACCUCAGACAUGUUGUGGCCGGGCGCGGUGGCUCAUGCCUGUAAUUCCAGCACUUUGGGAGGCCGAGGCAGGCGGAUCACGAGGUCAAGAGAUCGAGACCAUCCUGGCCAACGUGGUGAAACCCCGUCUCUACUAAAAAUACAAAAAUUAGCUGGGCAUGGUGGCGGGCGCCUGUAGUCCCAGCUACCCAGGAGGCUGAGGCAGGAGAAUCGCUUGAACCCAGGAGGCGGAGAUUGCAGUGAGCUGAGAUCGUGCCACUGCACUCCAGCCUGGUGACAGAGCAAGACUCUGUCUGAAAAAAUAAAAUAAAAAUAAAAAAUAACCUCAGACAUGUGAUUGAUAUGGUUUGGCUCUGUGUCCCCACCCAAAUCUUAUGUUCAAUUGUGAUCCCCAUGUGUCGGGGAGGGGCCUGGUGGGAGGUGACUGGAUCAUGGGGGUGGAUUUCCCCGUUGGUGUUCUCACGAUAGUGAGUGAGUUCUCACGAGAUCUGCUGGUUUAAAAGUGUGUGGUGCUUCCCCCUUCACUCUCUGUCUCUCUUCCCCGCUCUGCCAUGGGAAGAUGUGCCUACCUUCCCCUUCACCUUCUGCCGUGAGUGUCAGUCUCCUGAGGCUUCCCAGUCAUGCUUCCUGUACAGCCUGCAGAACUGUGAGUCCAUCAAACCUCUUUUCUUCAUAAAUUUCCCAGUCUCGGUGGUUCUUUACAGCAGUGUGAAAACAGACUAAUACAAUUAUUACCUAUUAAUUUAACAUAACAUGAUUUUAAUAUUAAGUUACUGAAAAAGAUUUUUAAGCCAGGUACAAUGGAACCUGCAAAUCUGGUAACUUAGAAGGCUGAGGCAGGAGGAUCACUUGAGCCCAGGAGUUCAAGGCUGCAAUGAGCUAUGAUUGCGCCACUGCAUUCUAACCUAGACAACA